GUCAGCACCCCGCUCUGAAGAGACGGGGCUUCAUGCCUCUCCUUUGGAUAGCUGACCAGCCUUAGCCUUAAAUGACUACGUUAUCGGGAAGCGUUAAAGUUCUUACCUUGGGAUGCGAAGCUAGUCCCAAGCUCUAAAACUCGGGCAUUUAAACAGUUUUACGAGGGGUAAGACAGUGAUGACCGAGAUAGUACCGACUGAUAACAUUGGCGAAGCUAACAUUAC
rfam:Planktothrix serta PCC 8927 isolate BBR_PRJEB10992 genome assembly, scaffold: BBR_A_PL8927_scaffold9